rnacentral:rRNA from 1 species
UACGGAGGAUGCAAGCGUUAUCCGGAAUCACUGGGCGUAAAGCGUCUGUAGGUGGUCCAUUAGGUCAACUGUUAAAUCUUGAGGCUCAACCUCAAAAUCGCAGUCGAAACUAUUAGACUAGAGUAUAGUAGGGGUAAAGGGAAUUUCCAGUGGAGCGGUGAAAUGCGUAGAGAUUGGAAAGAACACCGAUGGCGAAGGCACUUUACUGGACUAUUACUAACACUCAGAGACGAAAGCGAGGGUAGCAAAUGGG